rnacentral:rRNA from 1 species
UACGUAGGGAGCAAGCGUUAUCCGGAUUUAUUGGGUGUAAAGGGUGCGUAGACGGGAAAUUAAGUUAGUUGUGAAAUCCCCAGGCUUAACCUGGGAACUGCGACUAAAACUGGUUUUCUUGAGUGCUGGAGAGGAAAGCGGAAUUCCUAGUGUAGCGGUGUAUGCGUAGAUAUUAGGAGGAACACCAGUGGCGAAGGCGGCUUUCUGGACAGUAACUGACGUUGAGGCACGAAAGCGUGGGGAGCAAACA